UACCAGCACCCCGAGUGGUCGGGACGUUUAUUGGGCCUAAAGCAUCCGUAGCCGGUUCUACAAGUCUUCCGUUAAAUCCACCUGCUUAACAGAUGGGCUGCGGAAGAUACUAUGGAGCUAGGAGGCGGGAGAGGCAAGCGGUACUCGAAUGGGUAGGGGUAAAAUCCGUUGAUCCAUUGAAGACCACCAGUGGCGAAGGCGGCUUGCCAGAACGCGCUCGACGGUGAGGGAUGAAAGCUGGGGGGAGCAAACCGG
rnacentral:rRNA from 1 species